rnacentral:rRNA from 1 species
GAUGAACGCUGGCUACAGGCUUAACACAUGCAAGUCGAGGGGAAACGACGGGGAAGCUUGCUUCCCCGGGCGUCGACCGGCGCACGGGUGAGUAACGCGUAUCCAACCUGCCUCUGACUGAGGGAUAACCCGUCGAAAGUCGGCCUAAUACCUCAUGGCAUCGUCUGCGGGCAUCCAACGACGAUUAAAGAUUUCAUCGGUCAGGGAUGGGGAUGCGUCUGAUUAGCUUGUUGGCGGGGUAACGGCCCACCAAGGCUACGAUCAGUAGGGGUUCUGAGAGGAAGGUCCCCCACAUUGGAACUGAGACACGGUCCAAACUCCUACGGGAGGCAGCAGUGAGGAAUAUUGGUCAAUGGGCGGGAGCCUGAACCAGCCAAGUAGCGUGCAGGAUGACGGCCCUAUGGGUGGUAAACUGCUUUUAUGCGGGGAUAAAGUGAGGGACGUGUCCUUCAUUGCAGGUACCGCAUGAAUAAGAACCGGCUAAUUCCGUG